CAAAUGAAUUGACGGGGACCCGCACAAGCGGUGGAUGAUGUGGUUUAAUUCGAUGCAACGCGAAAACCUUACCCACCUUUGACAUGUACGGAAUCCUUUAGAGAUAGAGGAGUGCUCGAAAGAGAGCCGUAACACAGGUGCUGCAUGGCUGUCGUCAGCUCGUGUCGUGAGAUGUUGGGUUAAGUCCCGCAACGAGCGCAACCCUUGUCAUUAGUUGCUACAUUCAGUUGGGCACUCUAAUGAGACUGCCGGUGACAAACCGGAGGAAGGUGGGGAUGACGUCAAGUCCUCAUGGCCCUUAUAGGUGGGGCUACACACGUCAUACAAUGGAUGGUACAAAGGGUCGCCAACCCGCGAGGGGGAGCCAAUCCCAUAAGGCCAUUCGUAGUCCGGAUCGCAGUCUGCAACUCGACUGCGUGAAGUCGGAAUCGCUAGUAAUCGUGGAUCAGAAUGUCACGGUGAAUACGUUCCCGGGUCUU
rnacentral:rRNA from 1 species